UGGGGAAUAUUGCACAAAUGGGCGCAAGCCUGAUGCAGCCAUGCCGCGUGUGUGAAGAAGGCCUUCGGGUUGUAAAGCACUUUCAGCGAGGAGGAAGGUGGUGAGCUUAAUACGCUCAUCAAUUGACGUUACUCGCAGAAGAAGCACCGGCUAACUCCGUGCCAGCAGCCGCGGUAAUACGGAGGGUGCAAGCGUUAAUCGGAAUUACUGGGCGUAAAGCGCACGCAGGCGGUUUGUUAAGUCAGAUGUGAAAUCCCCGGGCUCAACCUGGGAACUGCAUUUGAAACUGGCAAGCUAGAGUCUCGUAGAGGGGGGUAGAAUUCCAGGUGUAGCGGUGAAAUGCGUAGAGAUCUGGAGGAAUACCGGUGGCGAAGGCGGCCCCCCUGGACGAAGACUGACGCUCAGGUGCGAAAGCGUGGGGAGCAAACAGAUUAGAUACCCUGGUAGUCCACGCUGUAAACGAUGUCGAUUUUGGAGUUGUCGCCCUUGAGGCGUGGCCUUCCGGAGCUAACGCGUUAAAUCGACCGCCU
rnacentral:rRNA from 1 species